rnacentral:rRNA from 1 species
AUUGAACGCUGGCGGCAGGCCUAACACAUGCAAGUCGAGCGGAGCGGCGGACGGGUGAGUUAUGUAUGGGGAUCUGCCCGAUAGAGGGGGAUCACUACUGGAAACUGUGGCUUAUACCGCAUACUAUCAGACACGCCUAGGUCGGUUUAGCUAGUUGGUGGGGUAAAGGCCUACCAAGGCGACGAUACGUAACUGGUCUGAGAGUAUGAUCAGGCACAUUGGAACUGAGACACGGUCCAGAAUCCUACGGGAGGCAGCAGUGGGGAAUAUUGGAGAAUGGGCGCAAGCCUGAUCCAGCCAUGCCGCGUGGAUGAAGAAGGUCUUCGGAUUUUAAAGCACUUUAAGUUGGGAGGCGUUACCGACAGAAUAAGCACCGGCUAACUUCGUGCCAGCAGCCGCGGUAAUAC